ACGAGAACAAGCCCUGUUGAGCAUCGCAGUGUACCCAAGUAAACCAUUACCGCCCAGCGGCGCCUGUGGAAUAGGUAAUAACCAGCACCUGAUAGCAGGGCUGUCAUUACCCUUGCGUAAGAGAUGAUGUUGUGUGUAACAGACAAAACCCAAGAUCUGUGACUCAACAAUAACUGUAUUGCCAGUUCUCCAGCAGAAAAUCCAAAGCCUUCCUUUCUGAAAGGACAUCCUGGAGGACAUCAGUGGGUCUUGAGAGUCAGUGGGCGUGCAAUGCAGUAAAUAGUGUUCCAGAUGACGCCAAAGAAUGAAGAGACAUGUUUCUAUAAUAUCUGUUAGACACAUCUAAGUGAAGGAGCCUAAUUUUGUUGUUUCGAGGUUGUACAUUUAGCAUAUGAGCUUAUUUACACACUUUGAGGCACCUGAAGAUGUUAACAUCUGUCACCUGCAGCAGAAGCUUCUUACCUCCACUUCUAUGGCACGGUAAUGGAUCGCUUACACCCUCCUUACCUGCCUGAGCAUGGUGCUGGCUUGGUUACUUCAAAUGACUGCUACUCACAACAGGCAAGGCUGCAAGAGCACAUCUUUCCCAAAGCAAGUUUCAAAGGAAUCAAC